rnacentral:misc_RNA from 1 species
GGGAUAUCUUAUUUUAGCUUCACUUCUUUGGAAGGCCUCCAUUUUCAGAAACAAACUCUGGCAGAACGUUAUAAGCCAUAAGAAAAGACAAAACUAUUUGCUGUACUAGAACACUUCCCUCAAAAGCCUGCCUUGAGCUAUAUAGCAGAUAAAAGAAGAAACAUAGAAGAGAAAACAGAUGAACUUUGAAAAUUUUGAGUAUUUGAGUAAAG